CAGGGCAGGGCUGAACUCGGUGAGUGGACAGGGCUGAACUAGGUGAGUGGACUGGACAGGGCAGGGCUGAACUAGGUGAGUGGACAGGACAGGGCAGGGCUGAACUAGGUGAGUGGACAGGACAGGGCAGAACUAGGUGAGUGGACUGGACAGGGCAGGGCUGAACUAGGUGAGUGGACAGGGCUGAACUAGGUGAGUGGACUGAACAGGGCAGGGCUGAACUAGGUGAGUGGACAGGGCAGAACUAGGUGAGUGGACUGGACAGGGCAGGGCUGAACUCGGUGAGUGGACUGGACAGGACAGGGCUGAACUAGGUGAGUGGACUGGACAGGACAGGGCUGAACUAGGUGAG